rnacentral:rRNA from 1 species
AUUGAACGCUGGCGGCAUGCUUUACACAUGCAAGUCGAACGGUAACAGGUUAAGCUGACGAGUGGCGAACGGGUGAGUAAUGCAUCGGAACGUGCCCGAUCGUGGGGGAUAACGCAGAGAAAGCUGCGCUAAUACCGCAUACGAUCUGAGGAUGAAAGCGGGGGACCGUAAGGCCUCGCGCGAUCGGAGCGGCCGAUGUCAGAUUAGGUAGUUGGUGGGGUAAAGGCUCACCAAGCCGACGAUCUGUAGCUGGUCUGAGAGGACGACCAGCCACACUGGGACUGAGACACGGCCCAGACUCCUACGGGAGGCAGCAGUGGGGAAUUUUGGACAAUGGGCGAAAGCCUGAUCCAGCAAUGCCGCGUGCAGGAAGAAGGCCUUCGGGUUGUAAACUGCUUUUGUACGGAGCGAAAAGGCUCCCUCUAAUACAGGGGGCUCAUGACGGUACCGUAAGAAUAAGCACCGGCUAACUACGUGCCAGCAGCCGCAGUAACAC